GACUGCAAGGCACCCAGAGGGCUCUCCCUCCCCACUCAGAACAGGGGGACACCCAUCAAGCCAUGAUGAAUGUGGAUUCCUGCCACUGCUUGAGGGGUUGUGACUACCACAUACUGACCGUGAGGUGACUCCAACCAGUGGCAAAGACUGGGGCAAAGACCUCUGCCAGCAGAGACUAUCAGAACUACCAGCUGAGAAUGAGUGGCAGCCAAGCAGUGAGAGGCAUUAAUGAAUCCCUAAACACAUGGGAGAAGCCAGGUGCUAAAGAGUUUCUUCCAAUUACACUGCAUUGAGCCAGGGAAAGGGACUAUGUGUCUCACUCUGUCGACCAGGCUGCAGUACAGUGGCACGAUCCCAGC